UAUUCAGAAAGAAUAUCUCGCAAUCAGUUUGCAAACAACCUUUGCGUGAACGUGUACAUUAAUUUUUACUGCCAGUUCGCCGUGUUUUAUUUAAUAAUUAUUUUUAUUGUGUUUCGUUUCAUUCCAAGUAAAUGAAGAUGCGCUUAUCGCUAUGGUACAUAUCCUUCGUAUUUCUGUGCUUUUAUGGUGCUCGGAAUGUGUUUGCUUACAAAAUACCACCAGUUCAACUGGAAGUGAGAGGAGAAGGAUUUCGUGUUUCGAUACCGCAUGAGAAUGGAAUCACUAUGGCAAUAUAUAAUAUUGAGAUUAAUGAACAGUGUCCGUUAUUAUUGGAUUUGAUAACUAAACAAAGGGACAAUCGUUGGACAACUGAACAAGGCGCUCGUAAAUUGCAGAGAAAUGCUAAAGUAAAAAUAAAUGUACUAAUAAUACAUAAGGAGGGUAUAUUUUCACGAACCGAUAAUGUAAGACUCUCAGACAAUAGUAUCAUCCAUGAAACUAUUCUGGAAUCUGACAAACCGAUCGAUCCAUGUACGGCAACUAAUCCACAGCUAAAUGCAGCCACAAAUGCUGUUAUUAAGAACAGUGAAACUAAAGUUGUUGUGAACAAUAAACCUUCUGCAAGAAUAUUCAAACCGAAUGAGUUAAUUUUUGAAGAGAAGUUCCAAUCACCAACACUAUCGAAUUGGAAUCGUAGAAAUUUUAUGCAUUCAAAUUCAAUAGGGGAUCGAUCAGAGGAUUUUACAGCUGUAAUCGAUAAAGAUCCCUAUCUAGAUGUGAAUGGUGGAACUUUACUAAUAACACCAACAAUAUCGAAUAGAACAAAUAAAGAAAGCUUUCAACUUGAAAAUUGUAGAAGUCCUGUUUGCUAUGAGAACAACAACUUUACUUGCGCAUAUGUGAAAGAUAAAAAUAGAUCAUAUGCACAUCCACCACCAGUAAACACGGGGAGAAUCGACACAAAUGGUAAAUUCAGUUUUACAUAUGGACGUAUUGAAAUCUAUGCAACCCUGCCCAACGGUGAUUGGUUAUUCCCCUAUAUUAUGCUUAUACCCGACAAACUCAAUUGUACUAUGCGGAAACAACUUCGCAUAGCUUUUGCCACGUCAGUUGAUCUCGAAAAUAAGCGUAUGCGUGGUGGCCCAGUAAUAUUAAAUGCCCGACCUAAUAAAGACAAAUAUUACUUCGUUCGUACAAAUCACAUGGCCAUCAGCACGGAUUUCAAUCCAAAUGGCUUUCACAACUUCACGCUAGUAUGGACUUCAAGCGCAAUCGGUAUUUUCGUCGAUAAUAAGAAGUACGGUUGUUUCAUAAACGUAGAUGAAUUUGCGGAACCUUAUCAUAUCGUGUUGGGAGUUGGAGCUGGAGGACACCUUGAAUUUGAGGAUAUGCAAAACAAGGCAUGGCGAAAUACACUUAAUUCCGCAUUUACUUUAUUUCAUCGAAGUUUCCAGGGUUGUUGCAAAAAAGCGACAUUUAAACCAAAAUGCCUUGAUAAGAAGAAAGAGUGAAUAUGCAGCGGGGAGUGGGGCCCGCAGGCGACUAUGCCUGUGAAAUACCUAAAAGCGUUGAACAGUAUAGAUGAAAAGUGCUUUUGUAUUUGAAGUCAAGUUCGGAGUUUCGGUUUAUAGUCAGAUGGAGAGUAAAAAAGGACGAAUAUUGCGGAUUUGCGUAUACUGGGGUUAAGGGAAGAUUUCAACUGAUUUGACAUUACUCAAGUAUAUUCGACAACAUGUUUCCAUGAAAUUUUGUGAAGAUAAUUCCCACACUAACCGAAGCAAAAAGCUGAGAUAAUUCGUAAAGCAAUUUCACACAUUUUCUGCAUUAAACUACAAGUAUAGUAUAUCCAAUGUUAUACAUUUACAUAAUUUGCCCUUAGAUAUUGACCAAUAAAUAUGGUAUAA